UACGUAGGGGGCGAGCGUUAUCCGGAUUUACUGGGUGUAAAGGGAGCGUAGACGGCUGGUCAAGUCUGAAGUGAAAGCCCGGGGCUUAACCCCGGAACGGCUUUGGAAACUGAGCAGCUAGAGUGCUGGAGAGGUAAGCGGAAUUCCUAGUGUAGCGGUGAAAUGCGUAGAUAUUAGGAGGAACACCAGUGGCGAAGGCAGCUUACUGGACAGUAACUGACGUUGAGGCUCGAAAGCGUGGGGAGCAAACAGG
rnacentral:rRNA from 1 species